AGAGUUUGAUCCUGGCUCAGGACGAACGCUGGCGGCGUGCUUAACACAUGCAAGUCGAACGGAAAGGCCCUGCUUGCAGGGUACUCGAGUGGCGAACGGGUGAGUAACACGUGGGUGAUCUGCCCUGCACUUCGGGAUAAGCUUGGGAAACUGGGUCUAAUACCGGAUAGGAACCAUCUUUAGUGUGGUGGUUGGAAAGUUUUUUCGGUGUAGGAUGAGCUCGCGGCCUAUCAGCUUGUUGGUGGGGUAAUGGCCUACCAAGGCGGCGACGGGUAGCCGGCCUGAGAGGGUGUACGGCCACAUUGGGACUGAGAUACGGCCCAGACUCCUACGGGAGGCAGCAGUGGGGAAUAUUGCACAAUGGGCGGAAGCCUGAUGCAGCAACGCCGCGUGCGGGAUGACGGCCUUCGGGUUGUAAACCGCUUUCGCCUGUGACGAAGCGUGAGUGACGGUAAUGGGUAAAGAAGCACCGGCUAACUACGUGCCAGCAGCCGCGGUGAUACGUAGGGUGCGAGCGUUGUCCGGAUUUAUUGGGCGUAAAGGGCUCGUAGGUGGUUGAUCGCGUCGGAAGUGUAAUCUUGGGGCUUAACCCUGAGCGUGCUUUCGAUACGGGUUGACUUGAGGAAGGUAGGGGAGAAUGGAAUUCCUGGUGGAGCGGUGGAAUGCGCAGAUAUCAGGAGGAACACCAGUGGCGAAGGCGGUUCUCUGGGCCUUUCCUGACGCUGAGGAGCGAAAGCGUGGGGAGCGAACAGGCUUAGAUACCCUGGUAGUCCACGCUGUAAACGGUGGGUACUAGGUGUGGGGUCCAUUCCACGGGUUCCGUGCCGUAGCUAACGCUUUAAGUACCCCGCCUGGGGAGUACGGCCGCAAGGCUAAAACUCAAAGGAAUUGACGGGGCCCCGCACAAGCGGCGGAGCAUGCGGAUUAAUUCGAUGCAACGCGUAGAACCUUACCUGGGUUUGACAUGGAUCGGGAGUGCUCAGAGAUGGGUGUGCCUCUUUUGGGGUCGGUUCACAGGUGGUGCAUGGCUGUCGUCAGCUCGUGUCGUGAGAUGUUGGGUUAAGUCCCGCAACGAGCGCAACCC
rnacentral:rRNA from 1 species